CGUCGUGAAUAUACCUUUUCGUAACAUGUCUAAUAUGAUUACAUUAUUGAAAAUAGUUGUUCAAAUUUAUAUAUGUUUACAUUUUCAUGUUAAAAUUGGAAGCAGAUUUUCUUCACAUUAUUACCAUAGCUACAUGACAUCAUUUACCGCGCUGAAGUUCACGCGUAUUUUGGCAUUUAGGUCCUCCGUAACCCCUCUAAUGGUCAUUACGGCACAUAUCGUUUAUACUCAGUUUAUUCCUCUAUCAAUAAGCUUUUUAAUUUGGCGUAUAAAGUUUGCCUUGAUAAGGGAGUGAAGGGUUGCAGCAGUCCAUUCCAUUAUUGAAAAUAAGCUAUUUCUUAAUGUUCUAGCGUAUUUCGGUAUUUAAAUCCUUCGUUACUUCUCUAAUAUUCGUUGCGGAACAUAUUGACUAUAUACAUUUUGUUCCUCCGUAAUAAGUUUUCGAAUGAGGUAUAAGGUAUAUCUAUAAUUAGGGGAUAAAGGGUCGCAGCAGUCCAUUCCAUUAUUCAAAAUAAGCUAUUUUUCAAUGUUCAAGCGUAUUUCGAUAUUUAAAUCCUUCGAUACUCCUCUAAUAUUCGUUGCGGAACAUAUUGACUAUAUACAUUUUGUUCCUCUCGUAAUAAGCUUUCGAAUGAG
rnacentral:lncRNA from 1 species